AUUGAACGCUGGCGGCAUGCCUUACACAUGCAAGUCGAACGGUAACAGGGAGCUUGCUCCGCUGACGAGUGGCGAACGGGUGAGUAAUACAUCGGAACGUGUCCUGUAGUGGGGGAUAGCCCGGCGAAAGCCGGAUUAAUACCGCAUACGCUGUACGCAGGAAAGGGGGGGAUCCUUCGGGACCUCUCGCUAUAGGGGCGGCCGAUGGCAGAUUAGCUAGUUGGUGGGGUAAAGGCCUACCAAGGCGACGAUCUGUAGCUGGUCUGAGAGGACGACCAGCCACACUGGGACUGAGACACGGCCCAGACUCCUACGGGAGGCAGCAGUGGGGAAUUUUGGACAAUGGGCGAAAGCCUGAUCCAGCAAUGCCGCGUGUGUGAAGAAGGCCUUCGGGUUGUAAAGCACUUUUGUUCGGGAAGAAAAGGCCCGGGAUAAUACCCUGGGCUGAUGACGGUACCGGAAGAAUAAGCACCGGCUAACUACGUGCCAGCAGCCGCAGUAAAAC
rnacentral:rRNA from 1 species